rnacentral:miRNA from 1 species
UUGGGGUCAGGGGACCAGAGCU